GAUAACUACUGGAAACGGUAGCUAAUACCGCAUAACGUCGCAAGACCAAAGAGGGGGACCUUCGGGCCUCUUGCCAUCAGAUGUGCCCAGAUGGGAUUAGCUAGUAGGUGGGGUAACGGCUCACCUAGGCGACGAUCCCUACGUGGUCUGAGAGGAUGACCAGCCACACUGGAACUGAGACACGGUCCAGACUCCUACGGGAGGCAGCAGUGGGGAAUAUUGCACAAUGGGCGCAAGCCUGAUGCAGCCAUGCCGCGUGUAUGAAGAAGGCCUUCGGGUUGUAAAGUACUUUCAGCGGGGAGGAAGGUGUUGUGGUUAAUAACCGCAGCAAUUGACGUUACCCGCAGAAGAAGCACCGGCUAACUCCGUGCCAGCAGCCGCGGUAAUACGGAGGUGUCAAGCGUUAAUCGGAAUUACUGGGCGUAAAGCGCACGCAGGCGGUCUGCUAAGUCGGAUGUGAAAUCCCCGGGCUCAACCUGGGAACUGCAUUCGAAACUGGCAGGCUGGAGUCUUGUAGAGGGGGGUAGAAUUCCAGGUGUAGAGGUGAAAUGCGUAGAGAUCUGGAGGAAUACCGGUGGCGAAGGCGGCCCCCUGGACAAAGACUGAACGCUCAGGUGCGAAAGCGUGGGGAGCAAACAGGAUUAGAUACCCUGGUAGUCCACGCCGUAAACGAUGUCGACUUGGAGGUUGUGCCCUUGAGGCGUGGCUUCCGGAGCUAACGCGUUAAGUCGACCGCCUGGGGAGUACGGCCGCAAGGUUAAAACUCAAAUGAAUUGACGGGGGCCCGCACAAGCGGUGGAGCAUGUGGUUUAAUUCGAUGCAACGCGAA
rnacentral:rRNA from 1 species